rnacentral:rRNA from 1 species
GUGCCAGCAGCCGCGGUAAUACCGGCAGCCCGAGUGAUGGCCGAUCUUAUUGGGCCUAAAGCGUCCGUAGCUGGCCGACCAAGUCUCCCGGGAAAUCCACCCGCCCAACGGGUGGGCGUCCGGUAGAAACUGGCCGGCUUGGAACCGGAAGGCUCAGAGAGUACGUCCGGGGUAGGAGUGAAAUCCCGUAAUCCCGGACGGACUACCGAUGGCGAAAGCACUCUGAGAAGACGGCUUCGACAGUGAGGGACGAAAGCUCGGGUCUCAAACCGGAUUAGAAACCCCAGUAGUCC